CCUACGGGAGACUGCAGUAGGGACUCUUCCACAAUGGGCGAAAGCCUGAUGGAGCAACGCCGCGUGGGUGAAGAAGGUCUUCGGAUCGUAAAACCCUGUUGUUAGAGAAGAAAGUGCGUGAGAGUAACUGUUCACGUUUCGACGGUAUCUAACCAGAAAGCCACGGCUAACUACGUGCCAGCAGCCGCGGUAAUACGUAGGUGGCAAGCGUUAUCCGGAUUUAUUGGGCGUAAAGGGCACGCAGGCGGUCUUGUAAGUCUGAUGUGAAAGCCUUCGGCUUAACCGGAGUAGUGCAUUGGAAACUGGGAGACGUGAGUGCAGAAGAGGAGAGUGGAACUCCAUGUGUAGCGGUGAAAUGCGUAGAUAUAUGGAAGAACACCAGUGGCGAAAGCGGCUCUCUGGUCUGUAACUGACGCUGAGGUUCGAAAGCGUGGGUAGCAAACAGGAUUAGAUACCCGGGUAGUC
rnacentral:rRNA from 1 species